USSGGSRGGGCWAMACAUGCAAGUCGAGCGGUAGCACAGAGAGCUUGCUCUCGGGUGACGAGCGGCGGACGGGUGAGUAAUGUCUGGGAAACUGCCUGAUGGAGGGGGAUAACUACUGGAAACGGUAGCUAAUACCGCAUAAYGUCGCAAGACCAAAGUGGGGGACCUUCGGGCCUCAUGCCAUCAGAUGUGCCCAGAUGGGAUUAGCUAGUAGGUGGGGUAACGGCUCACCUAGGCGACGAUCCCUAGCUGGUCUGAGAGGAUGACCAGCCACACUGGAACUGAGACACGGUCCAGACUCCUACGGGAGGCAGCAGUGGGGAAUAUUGCACAAUGGGCGCAAGCCUGAUGCAGCCAUGCCGCGUGUGUGAAGAAGGCCUUCGGGUUGUAAAGCACUUUCAGCGGGGAGGAAGGCGUURAGGUUAAUAACCUUGGCGAUUGACGUUACCCGCAGAAGAAGCACCGGCUAACUCCGUGCCAGCAGCCGCGGUAAUACGGAGGGUGCAAGCGUUAAUCGGAAUUACUGGGCGUAAAGCGCACGCAGCGGUCUGUCAAGUCGGAUGUGAAAUCCCCGGGCUCAACCUGGGAACUGCAUUCGAAACUGGCAGGCUAGAGUCUUGUAGAGGGGGGUAGAAUUCCAGUGUAGCGUGAAAUGCGUAGAGAUCUGGAGGAUACCGGUGGCGAUGSGCCCCUGGAMAAARACUGACSCCUMAGKSCAAAG
rnacentral:rRNA from 1 species